UUGUUAUGUAGGAUAAUCCUUAUCUAUUCCUCUUCUUUGAGGGCAGAUAGAACAUGAUGAUUGGAGUAAAAAUAAAGAAUGUGAAACUGUUUAAACUUGCAGUUUGGGUUAGUCUGAU